rnacentral:rRNA from 1 species
GAUGAACGCUGGCGGCGUGCCUAAUACAUGCAAGUCGAGCGAACGGACGAGAAGCUUGCUUCUCUGAUGUUAGCGGCGGACGGGUGAGUAACACGUGGAUAACCUACCUAUAAGACUGGGAUAACUUCGGGAAACCGGAGCUAAUACCGGAUAAUAUUUUGAACCGCAUGGUUCAAAAGUGAAAGACGGUCUUGCUGUCACUUAUAGAUGGAUCCGCGCUGCAUUAGCUAGUUGGUAAGGUAACGGUUUACCAAGGCAACGAUGCAUAGCCGACCUGAGAGGGUGAUCGGCCACACUGGAACUGAGACACGGUCCAGACUCCUACGGGAGGCAGCAGUAGGGAAUCUUCCGCAAAGGGCGAAAGCCUGACGGAGCAACGCCGCGUGAGUGAUGAAGGUCUUCGGAUCGUAAGACUCUGUUAUUAGGGAAGAACAUAUGUGUAAGUAACUGUGCACAUCUUGACGGUACCUAAUCAGAAAGCCACGGCUAACUACGUG